rnacentral:lncRNA from 1 species
UUUUUACUUUACUUGUUUUAUUGAUUUGAUUUAGCUUUUGAGCUUCUAAAGGCAACAAUUUAGAGUCUCUGAUUCGCUCGAUCAAUAGUGAUUUCAGUGCUGUACGUUGCCGAUAACAAUUUGGAACUGAGAUUCUGGCAUUUGCCUUAGAUUUUUCUUCAGGCUUAUGCAUUCAGAUGUUGCUAUAUUUUCAAUUUUAUGUUAUAUCAGUGCUUAUGUUGGUUCUUAUCGUAGCUAUGAUUUAAAAGCUUAUAUCAGUGUUUUGAGAUUUCUUUUUUGAUUAAUCGUUGGUCUUACCCUAUAAUUAUUUCAAUUCAAUAUCAGUUAACACUCUUAUUCGCAUUUCAUUAGUCCCACUAUGUUCUAUUUGAGUUAAUUUCUGGUGAUUAUUUGUUUCAUUAAUGGUGACUUAUGGUUAUAUAGUGUUUCUUUUCCAAUUCAAUAUCAUUUAAUACUCUUAUUUCCGUAUCCUUUCUCUCCCUAAGUCCUAUAUGAGGAGAUUUCCUUGAAUACCAAGGGCCAUUUUGGGUGCGUAAUUAGUGUGUUGAAUGUUCUUGAUUUGGAAGUCUGAAACAAAACUUGGGCCCUUAUUUUAGUCUAAUUGAGUGUUUAGGAUUUUAGUAUGUUGAGAUAAACAAAAAGGCAACAAUUUAGAGUCUCUGAUUCAUUUAUUUGAUAGUGAUUUCAGUGCUGUACGUUGCCAAUAAUAAUUUGGAACUGAAAUUCUGGUAUUGGCCCUUGUUUUAUACCCCAGGCUUAUGCAUUCAUAUGUUCCUAUAUUUUCAAGAUAUUCAUUGCCAUAUGUAUACCUUUAAGAUCUCUAAAUAAUCUAAUUUCUUCAAUUGUUUAAUGUUGUUGAGAGGGUAAAAGCCAAUUUGC